AAUCACGGUUGGUUUAUUGUAGCUCCCCUCACAUUCUUACCGAUGAAAGCUUUCGUCUUUGUUAUUUGCCGUUUCUUUUUUUCCCUCACAACUGCUCUUUUUUCCCCUCCCCUGAAGCGUCAGUGUUCUGUUCUUUGCAUUUUCAUCAGCGUUUCUCUCUCUACUUUUGUGUUAUUCUCUUCCUUGCCUUUUCUUUCUUCUUCUCUGUCCGCUUCUUGAUUGUCCACUUGUCUCUCUAUAUUUUGAUGGACAAGGAGCCUGUUAUUUAGGGCUUUUGACGCUGUCUAGAAAUUAUUACAUGAAGGUUGCUUCUCGUCCUUCAAUUGGAUGAUUGAAGCAUUGGUUCUACAAAAACAGUUAGAGAAAAUUCAGAACGAGCAGAUCAUUUAUUCAUGCAUUGCAAGAUGGCUCGGAGUCUUUAGCAAAAAGUUUUUGGAGCAGUUAAACUGAAGUGGUGCUUUCUAGCCCAAAGUUGUGCUAUUCUGGUGGAGGUUUUUGGGGUUUCAGAAGAGGGAAGAAGGCUCAAACCAUAGGGAGAGCAAUGCUUUUAGCUGCUCUUUGGGUAACGUGGAAUGAGAGAAAUCAUUGAAUUUUUGAGGAGAGUGAGAUGGUUGUUGAAAACUUAUUUGAAGACUUAUUUGCUUCUCUACGGGCUGCAACUGAUGCCAUUGUCUCUAUAAUAUUAGGUGGGAGGACAUUCUGAGUUGAGAUGCUGGUGGUGUUGUUAUGUAAUCUUGUUUUUUAAUUUUUUUUG